AAGAAAAUGUCUUUAGAGGUCAAAACCAGAGAGUUGUUCUAAUUCACGGGCAGAAAGUUUUAAAACAAAUGCACAGCACAUACAAUUCCAGACAAGCCAUUUUGGCUAUGGAACAAAUAUAAGAAAUCCAGCUUUUUCAGUGGGAUGGAGUUGUCUCGGUUUCAGUUUAUGAGGCCAUUUCCCAAAACAUUAUAUAUCUUGGUGACUUAUGAAGCAUGAACGUCAAUGGCAGACUCAAAACUUUUCACAGCAGAAUAUUGUAAACCCAAGUUGUUAACGAGUUCACGAGAAUAACUCUGCUUGUUUUGUAUGGAAAAACUGAGAUAAUUAAGCAAUGCAACUAUAUGACAAGAAAACAUAAUAUGAUUAAACAAAUUGGUUACAAAAUUGCUCAAGGAAGGUUGUCCUGAGCAACACACAGGCGAAGUUCCUUAAGACUGUUGAAACAAAGAUGAUACCUUUCAUAUGCACUCUCCCCAGUUUCUGUCCAAAAUCAAUCAUGCAUUUAAUUUAAUAUUUUGAUCAUUUGAAAAAAGUUAAACUAUGAUUUUGGCAAUCAGGAAAUUCAUACCCAUCACGAUGCUUCUCCAACACAAUAUUCCAGUAAGUAUAUACCUCUAACUCAGUCCCAGUAGUUUUAUUAAUACAACAAAUUACUUAUCCUUCUUUUCUCUUGCCUUCAAUUUGCAGUUUAUGACUUUGAUAUGAAAGCAUUUUCUGAUGAGAAAGGGAAAAACUACAGGAAUAAGUACGAGAUGAGAGACAAUAUCUGUAUUUAAUUUUGAAGUGUCCCACAUAGAAUGGAAGAAAAGUGCACAUAAGCUAUUUGCUUCACUUACACAUGGGUAAAGGUCACUCUGGAGUCAUUUUACAGACCUGGCUCAUGUAAAAGCAAGGCCCCUGCCUACCAUUUAUGCAAAAUCAUUGACAAUCAGGGAAAGCAACAUGAUUGCCAGGAAAAGGCUAUCAUAAGGCCAGUCUCAAAAAGAGAUGAGCAAUGAGCUUAUAGGCCCAGUGGCUUCAGCUCAGGUCAGAAAGAAUCACCAAGAAUCGCUUGCUGGAAUCCAUUCGCAAGCACACAAUGGACAAGAAGGUAAAAAGGGACUCUGCAACUCUGCAAGGAACUUCACAGGCAUACCAUGUCUGAACAACCCUACUGCUCUCUACACCAAGAUGACUGUCUACAUAGAUGGGGAGAGAGCAGGGGCUGUAGCAUAUCUUCAGUCAGACUGCUGACACCACCUCCCACAACACUCCCAUUUAGAAGCUGAGGAUGUAGAGCUGGAUGAACAGACCACUGGGUGGCUGAAGAUGGGCUAUGCCUCCAGGCCUACAAGAGUCAGUAAUCAGUGGCUCAGUGCCAGGCUCAUGACACGUAGAGUGCAUGACAUCAGUGGGGGGAAAAUAGCUCAACAUCUUUGUGAAGAACCAGCAUGACGGACAGACUGCACCCUGAAGCAGAUUUUCACAGGACAGUACCUUAAAGAGCACAGCUGACAUGCUGAAUGGCAGAGCUUGAAUCCAGGGGAACUUUGAAAAAUGGGAAGAGUGGGCCAACAGAAACCUCAUGACAUUCAAUAAGGAGAAGCAUAAAGUUUUGCAGCUUGGGUGAAACAACUCCAUGCCCAUUGGGAUAGGCUGAGAAGCAACAGAAAGGGACCUCAGGUGAUGGUAGACACCAGACUGAAUAAGAACCAGCAGUAUACUUGCACUGUGCAUAUAGCAAACUACAACAGACUGCAUUUGGAGGGCAGCAGUCAAUAUAUCUAAGCAAGUUUAUUAUCCUUUUCUGGACAGCACUGGUGAGACCACAGUCGGAAUUUGUAGCCAGCUGUAUGAAGCCAGUUAAACAGGAAUGUGGAGAAAAAGGAGAUGAACUAGUAGAGGGCUGCAAAAUAGGUCAGGGACCUCAAGAAAGGACCUAUGAGAAGUUAAGUGGACCUGGGCUUGUUUUGCAAAUGAAGCUAAAAGGAGAAUUCAUAGCAACUUACAACCACUUGAACGAUGGCUACAGAAAUGACACAGACAACUUUCUUUGUGAGGGUUAACAUCCUUUUGUUAAGUUCAGUUUGGAUAUUAGGAAGCAUUUCCUCUACAGGAGAGCAUGGCACAUGAGUGAAACACACUGCCCAGAGUUCAUGAAUUCUCCACCCUCAGAGACUUACAGGACUCGGCAAGAAUCAGCUGUGGCUGAUCCAUUCUAGUGACAGCCUUUGCCUCAGCAGGAAUAUGUAACAAGUGACCUACCGAGUUUUCUUUCAAUCAGUAUUUAAAUGCCUUACUGAUUACAGUGGGACCAAGAUGUGCCCCAGCUGACAUUUAUGCCUUAACUACCUGAAAGUAGCUUGAUGUAGCUGGGUUCAAGCAUACUAAUGGCUGCACUUUAUUCUGAGCAUAUUCCAGUUCUGCAUCAAUCCAACCCAAGCUAGGAACUGCUAUCGCAAUUGCUCUCUGCUAUUACUGAGUUUGAAUCAUUUGAUAAAGUACCCUUAACUCUGCAGGGCCUAAUUUUCAAGGUUUCAUUAUUAAUUUUAUAUCAAAGUUCUCAAAACACAGUGCACACAGAAAACACUGAUAAGAGGCUGUAACCUUCAAGUGAUUUCAUAACAUUCUCAACACACAGCCUCUGUUGUUGUUGCUGUUUGCAAUGGUGUGUGGUUCUUAUAAGAGAGGCCUUGCCUGUCCAGACGAACUAAUGUCACUGAAGAGAAAAGGGAGGAGGAAUGCUUCUGCUUUUAGUUCCUGACAAUUCAGUUUUCUUGUAAGUACAGCCACUACCUAUGGAAGGGGAUAGCUAGCAAGUAAAAUUCUGAAGUAGUGCAGAAAUAGCAUUCAAGCACAAAUUCUGGACUUCUCAGACCUAUGUGAAGCAUCUCUACCCACAGCUGGAUAUGUGACAGGAGGUAAGGGUAUUCUACUUGGUAGCAUGGAAAUACUGGCUUUGCCUCCAUCACUAGUGUAUUUUAUCAGGAAAAAAAGCAAUACCCUAUGGUAAAACACAUGAAGAGGUAAUGAAAAUGUCGAUGUUCUCCUGCCUCUCAGUCCUCCCAAGUAAUUUUAUCUAUAUGGUCAGCUAAAGAUAGGCAGUCUGAUUUGCAGAAAUUUACCUGAAAUAAUUGAAACUAGAGAAGGGCAGAAAGGAAAGAUGAAAGGAGGGAGAAUUAUUCACACAAAGCUGUGUUUGGCUGUGACUAAUGUCAGCUCUUGUUAAGCAGCAAAUUUUGUGUGUAACAGGCACUAAAAUCUCCAAGUCAUAUCUUAUAAAACCCCAACUCAGCACAGGGCCUGUCCCAAACAGUGACUGAGGACUUUGUCCAAAUUAAACAACAAAUUAGUUUUUGACUAAUUAAUUCUGUCAAGUAGUAGAUAAAGUGUCAAGUAGUAGAUAAAGUUAGUGCUAAUUAAUUAUUGCUUUUAAACAAAAGGAAAGUAAUUAUAAACCUGUAAUUCCUUCCAAGACCGUUUGGACAAGAAACUGGCUGAAGUUGGUGUGAUUUUGCAAAUAAUUUUUACACUAUAAUCUUCCUUUUUCCCCAGCUCUAAUCAGCACAGGGCCCAGAUCUGUUUUGCUGUCAUCAGUGGGAAAAUUUGUGGUGUCAAAUGGUGGACUCUGCAUCGGGGACAGCCGAUGGUUCAGGAAGAAAACUCAGUCUCAAUGGGAUGUCAGAGAAGCCCCAUGAACUACCUGAUCAUCCUCUUAUGCAUGGAGGAGCCAGGAUCUCAAAGACAUUCUAUCCCACCGCAGCGUACAGAACAGGUACUUACAGCUCUGUAUUGAAGUAGGAGGUGACAUCAGGAUCAGGCACACCUGCUACAGCAAAAUUACUGCUUCCAGUGUCAACCAGAAUAUUUAACUGCCGAAACAGAAGAAAGGAGAGGUGGUUUUCACAUUCAACUAAACAAACAAAAAAUCAUUAAAGCUUUUUUUUGUCUAAACUACCUUUAGUUUAAAAAUAAAGAUGAAAGUUGCUCUGAAAAAUAAAUGCAAAGUAUUAACCUUUGGGGAAGACACGUUGCUGUGGCCCAUCCAGAACAGCUGAUUAUAAUGCAAUGCUUUAAAAUAGUCAUGGUCAUGGAAGGGAGAACACCCACCAAGCCUGUAUUUGCAUAGCAAAUUAAUUUAUGACCACCUCAAACUUCUUUUUGGCCCAAUCCAUGUGUGCCAGCAACCUGCCUUGUCCAGGACACAUACUGCUUUGUGUCCUGUUUAAAGCACUGCUUCUGUAGGGCUGAUGAGGUUUCUAGGUAGAGGGCUGAGUGCCAAUCAGAGCAGAAAUAAGCAUAAACAUGAAGCUUGGAAAGCAUAAGAAGAAAGCAUAACUCCUUCCAAACAGUAGCACCCUACCACAGACUUCACUGCCUGGGAACAAGAGGCUAGAUUUAUAAGCACAGUGAAAAGCACUGAUUGGAAGGCAGCCUUAGUGUAGGCCACUUAUUCAGUUAAUUGGGAGGAUAAUUUAUACCAAAAAUUGCCUAAUAAGAACAGAGAAAAAAAAAAAUGAAAUCCUCUCUUUCCCCAUGUAGCUCAGGCGACCAGUCUGGCUCACCACAGCUGUGGGAAAAUGCUUGUACUAGCACAAAGCAGAAGGUCAUAGCUGUGAAUGAGCUGAGAUGCAGGAUCACCUUGAAACUACAGCUUGGAGUGCCAUUAAAUGACAAUUUAAGCCAGAAAGAGACUGUACAACUACCAAAACUGGUGGUCAUGCUUUUGCCUCCCCUUGGCUGUAUGUUUCCCAUGGCUUCUUGGCACAAGCACUAGUAUCCAUGUGGCCGUGCUACAAAUCAGAUCAGUUUCCUCACCUACAGUUACAAACAAUUAGUCAUCUGUCAUCUCAGACAGCUACUCGACAGGAGAUGGUAGGAGCAGAUACUAGAAAAUGGUGAUUACCUCCUUUGGUGACAGUAUGGUCUCAGUUUGGCCCCCAAAUGAUUGUGAAAUCAUGCUGUAGGCAAUAGCAGACACCUGCCCCUAUAACAGUGUUAAGGAAUUAAGAUUUUUCCUGUAGGAGGGAGACAUCAGGACUGGUUUGCCUGUGGUUUGAAUACAACUUGAACCCACCACUUCUGUAGCCCUCGUCAGUACUUAAGACUCAAGACUGAGCACCAAAAGCGAAUGUGAGAAGGGUAAGAGAGAAAGAUACAGUAAAUGAGCUUAGUGUUGACAAAAGAGGUGGAGAAACAUGAUCGAGUUCAGAAAGGAGCAUAAAGACAAAGGAGGAUAAAGCAUUUAGAGAAGACACGCCGAAAACUUCUUUAAUAGAUUUUACAAUGAGCAUAGUAAAAAAAGAAAGUGUGAGCUGACGUUUAACAACAUUUUUGGUUUGCACAUGGAGAGGAAGGAAAUAGCGGGUUGCCCUUGUUUGAUCUAGCUAAUACAAUGUGGGACUGCAGAGAUCUGAAGAAAACAAACACAGAAACAACUAGUAAUGCGUGGGACUCUCUUCUGAACUACAUGCACUUGUCAUUGCCAUUCCCAGUCCAAAUCAUGCAAAAAUGUUAAGAAUAAAUAUAAACAAAGCCACAACCUUAGUCAAGUUAUUUACCUACCUCACUGUAUCUCAGAUUUUAGACUAAGUGGAGACAACACAUUAAAAUUUAUUUUGCAAUCACACGCAAGCUAGACAGACUUUUAAAAGCAAAAGGACGUAUUUAAGUUCACCUGGCUUCAGGAACUGAGGCUUUGAAAGAAAAUGAGAACCUUUGAGGCAUGACUUGCAAUAAAAUCCACAGUUUACUGCAUACAUUGUUUUGCUGAGAUUAAAAUCUAACAUUCUGUCAACUACCUAUGAAAGUAAGAGUUAUUCCUUUUUUUUUUUUUUUCCCCCUCUGGGAUAGAAAUCAUAUUAAAUAUAAAUAACAAAGAGCAGCUACAAUGCAUGCAUCUAUCAGGACCAACAAAAGUUGCCUCAAAGGGGUGCUGCGGGGCUUAAAUUAAUUAGCAUUACCAAGGCAGUCUGUGAUGUUUGAGUAAUGGGCACUGUAUAUCAGCUGCAUAAAUACACGUAGGUGUUGCCCUACCCUCGGUAAUAUUCAUGACACUGUACAUGGAGGAGGACUGGAAAAAAAAAAACCAAAACCCUCAAACAAAAGCUCAAUCACUAAC